GCUUGUAAGACAAAUUCUUUGACACAUUUUCUCUUCCUUUGAUAUUCUUAUAGGACAGAACAUGGACACAAUGCAAUUGGGAUCAAGAAGAUCUUCUCAGAAAUGAAUCAAGUCCAUGGAAUGGAUAUAGACAAAAAGAGAAUUGAAGGACUAUCAGAGAGAGGCGAGGCAGGGGUGAGGACAUCAUCCUGCUAUUUUGACUGUCCUUGAAGGACAAUACAGAAUAGGGAUUUGCGCUUAUUCCUUCCCUUUCUCUAAUGUAUUUUGUAAUAAAAUUAGCAAGUGUAGUAAGAUCAUUGCUUUACUUUACUUGGACUGGAGACCGCAGCGAUCCUGCUCUUGCCCAACCUCUUCAAUGAGGACCCGAGUGGCCUUUAUGUCCGUGAUAAGAUUUUACUGCUCUUCACUCAUUUAUUGCACAUCGGUGGAAAUCCAUUUCACCAUGAGAGUGAAAUCCCGCUGGCCUUUGAUGGGGAGAACAUCCACGCCCUCGAGGACGUCAUGGGACUUGGGUCUCUGCUAGGGGUGUAUUUUUAUUUUCUAUUAAUUUUCAGAAAAACACUUAUGUUGUUAAGUUACUGUGUUCUAGGGAUAAGAGAAGUUGGGUGAAGUUACCAGGGCCGGUCAUAAAGAUGGCAAACUUCCUAACAUAAGUGAAUAUGAUAUACACACUAAAGCUGAAAUAUCUGUAUUUAGCAUCAAGUCUACAAUAUUGUUAGUUUACCUAUGAUUCGUUUUUAUUGUACAUCAUUAUUAAAAAAUAUUUAAAUGUCAUGAAAAGCACUGAACAAAGUAAAUGUAUUAUCUAUUAUGGUCUGACAUGUCUGCAGAAAUUUUGUAAUGUAAAUUGUUUUGUAAAUAUUAAUUCACAUUUGUGGUGCCAUUAAAUAAAGAAUGAAUU